GACAAAUGCUGGCGGCAUGCCUAACACAUGCAAGUCGAACGGACAGAACAGGGAAGCUUUUCGGAGUGGAACUGGAAAGUUAGUGGCGGAUGGGUGAGUAACGCGUGGACAACCUACCUUGUAAAGGGGAAUAACCUCGAGAAAUCGAAGCUAAUACCCCAUAAUAACCUUGCUUCGCAUGAAGUAAGGAGGAAAGGCGGCCUUAGCGCUGUCGAUACAAGAUGGGUCCGCGUCUGAUUAGCUAGUUGGUGAGGUAAAGGCUCACCAAGGCGACGAUCAGUAAGCGGCCUGGGGGGGUGAACGGCCACAUUGGGACUGGGACACGGCCCAAACUCCUACGGGAGGCAGCAGUGGGGAAUCUUCCGCAAUGGGCGAAAGCCUGACGGAGCAAUGCCGCGUGAGUGAAGAAGGCCUUCGGGUUGUAAAACUCUGUCCUUAUCGAAGAGAGAGUGUUGUAGUAACUGACAAUACUAGGACGGUAGAUGAGGAGGAAGCCCCGGCUAACUAUGUG
rnacentral:rRNA from 1 species